AACGAACGCUGGCGGCAGGCCUAACACAUGCAAGUCGAGCGCCCUUUCGGGGGCGCGGCGGACGGGUGAGUAACGCGUGGGAAUAUGCCCUUCUCUACGGAAUAGCCUCGGGAAACUGAGAGUAAUACCGUAUACGCCCUAUGGGGGAAAGAUUUAUCGGGGAAGGAUUAGCCCGCGUUGGAUUAGGUAGUUGGUGGGGUAAUGGCCUACCAAGCCGACGAUCCAUAGCUGGUUUGAGAGGAUGAUCAGCCACACUGGGACUGAGACACGGCCCAGACUCCUACGGGAGGCAGCAGUGGGGAAUCUUAGACAAUGGGGGCAACCCUGAUCUAGCCAGGCCGCGGGAGUGAUGAAGGCCUUAGGGUGGUAAAGCUCUUUCAGCUGGGAAGAUAAUGACGGUACCAGCAGAAGAAGCCCCGGCUAACUCCGUG
rnacentral:rRNA from 1 species